GGCAGUCUGCAGGGGGCGGCAUUUAAUUUCCUUUUUUUUUUUUUUUCUUCUAAAAAAAUUUUUUUUAAGCAUCAACCAAUACAUAAACAAAACAUAGAAAUCGCAUGUUCUUAAUAAUAGUGAUGAUAAUAAUACUAUUUCUGUAAUAAAAGCACAACAAAGUGUAACCCAUAUCAACUACUCCCUGUCACAUGACCCACGUCAGCUGAUGUGAGGUCCCUCUCCUGAUUGGCUCCUUCCACGUCGCGGCAACAAUGAAAGCUGGCUGUGGGGGAAUACUUCCGGGCUAAAAACAAAGCGUUUUUCUCCCCUCAAUUCAUUUAUACUCUCAUUUUACCUCAGCGACAAAUGGGUGGAUGUGGCUUUGUUGUUGCUGCCAGUGCUUCUCCAAACUGAACCAUACAAGUUGAAGGAGAGCGUUCCGACCAAGCAGAGGUUCAGCAGGCCUUCACUGACUUCCAACCUACUGGAACCAGUCUGGUGAAGAACCUGAAUGGGACCACAGCGGAGCACCACAUGUCCUUAUGGCUGCAGAAGACCAUCGAUGUUCCCAAGAAUUUUUGAUCAUCAAUGGAACUGGAAUACCCAUCUGUUCUUAAACAUUUUUUGUGUUGAUGUCAACUAUCCAAAACCACGUGCACAGAUUUGGGGGUUUAUUCAGACAUUUAUCUUUGCAUCAUGAAUCAAAUGCUGCAAAGCUUUGAGGGCUUAUGUUGCUAUGAUGUAAGGUUGAUGUUCUGCUGACUAGAGCAUUAAGGUUGGGUGUUGAUGGGCAUUUACUUCACUACAGUUCUUCCAUUAAAGUUGUUUAACAUGUUUAAGACAUCACAAAUUACAAAAUGUUUAAUAUUUGUCAUAAAAAAUGCAAUUAGUAGUCAUUUACAAAACAAGUUGGAAUAUGAAUGCAUGUUUAGAGAAAGUAGAAAAUGCAACUUUAUUUUUUAUUUAUGUAUUUUGAAAACUAACAUAAUUUUUGUGAUAAAUAAAGAAUUGACUGAGACAUGUUCAUUUUGUUUUAUUGAAUUAUUAAAUUUGUAUUUUAUUUAUUGUAUUGUAUUUACUAUAGAAUUGGGUUAUUUUAACCCAAGCUUUAGUAAUUUAAUAACCCAGAAGUUGGGUUUUAUUUUUAACCCAGUUUUGGGUAGUCCUAACUGUACAGUUGGGUCAUUUUAACCCAUUGAUUGGGUAGAAAGCAUAACCCAAUAAGCUGGGUCAAACUCAUAACCCAACCCUGCUUGGUUACAAUAACCCAGCAUUGGGUCGGUCCCUUUUUGACCCAGCACCUGGGUUACAAAACAACCCAAAUUGGGUUAUUUUCAACCCAGCAGUUUCUUUUGCGUCCCUUAGUUGAAAAAUAUGAGAAAAGCCCCUUGAGAAAAUAUUCGUGAAUUAAAUCGUAAUUGCAAUAUUGAAGAAAAAAUAUUUUCACAAUUAGAUUACUUUCCAGAAUCGUUCAGCCCUAAUCAUUACUAAUUUUGAAAUAACCCACACAGCUUUUAGAAGUUGGUAAGAAAAUAAAAAUUUCAUAGUGUAAUCCGAUCCAAUCUUCACUAGAUCAUUAUAAAAUGUUCCACAAUCAGCCUUCUAUUUCCUCUGACAUUAUCCCCCAUUUAUCUCGUUCACAAACACAAAUGCACACACGAUGAGUUUUUUUUCCCAUCCUUUUAGAGUUGGUAGAGAAAACAAAAGCAAACGGAGCAACGAAAACAAUUAGUCCAAUCAAGGGUGACAGAAGGCAAUUAGAAGUAAAAGGUUUGAGGAGCCAAAAGCUGCUGUUAUAGAGAAACGUGUCACUGGGGAGUGUGAGUAGAUUGAAAAUGCACAGUGUUUUUAAAAGUGUGUAAGGCCUAAAAUCAGCAGCUCCAUUGGAAGCUUUCAGUCGUCUCCAAAAGAUAAAAUCACAAGAACAUAAGAAGUGCAAACGAGCAGCUAUUGGCUACGCACACGACAAAACGGUUUAAAUCACGACUCUAAAUGCAGAAUAAAGUCUUCACUCAAGGAGCAGCUGAAUUAAAGCACAUAUUCUAACCUCUCUAGAAACAAGAGACAGGUGCAAUCUUCUCACAAAAUUGGAUGUUUGUGUUUUUGAUACACUCACUAGGCAAAAAGUGCUCAUCUCCACAACUGUACUGUUUCAGGAAAUUAUUUAAAAAAAAGUAUUUAUUUUACAAUGAAUGAACUCCAAAAGCUAAAACAGACCUUUAAACAAAAAUAAAAUUACACAUUUUUCUCAACCGUCUGUUCAUUGAAAUGUUAAGAGUAACACCAUUACACCCAAAAACACUCGGCUCAGCAUGCAACCACAGAGGAUUUGACAAAAAUAUCCAAUGAUACAUUUAGGAAUAGAAAAUUUAUCAUUUCAGGGACUAAAAAGUAAUUACUUGCUUAAUUUUGUAGAAAAUCUUUUGCAGGUGACGACUGCGUGAAGCCUGGAGCGCAUAAACCAGCAGGUUUCCUCCUGCUCUCACAGGCGUUUUACUGCAGCUGUUUUCAUUUGUUUCCUUGUGGGUUUUCCUGCCUCAGGUUUGAUCUAAAGGAAGUUCAAUUGGCUCUUUACCGGGAGGAGAUCUGAUAAUUGACUUGAAAUUAAAUUAAAUAAUUUUAGCCUAGAAUUUUAGCAGUAGCAAAGGAUUUAGCUCUGCAGGCCGAUGUAACCCCGCUCCAUUGUAGCCUCAGCAGGUAUGCUAUUGGCCUUGUUAAAUUAGGCCCGGCCAAUCACAGUGCUCUAUGUUUGUACAGAGAUGUUGAGUGGGCUUAGUGGCAGAGCUGCGAUGUAGAAAAACUACAAAUAUGGUGUUGGUUCAGGAAGUGCGCUCGUUUGAAACCGC